CCGAGGCAUUCGACUUCCAGGCAUUACCAGGCAGGAUAUCCCAAAGUAUUCUGAGAUUUUGCUCCAUACAUAAGUCGCACCCAGCAUCUGGAGUUGGUCUGUCGUUGCACGGCAGGAUUCCUUAUAAGAUUUUUGUAAUGAACAGAUAAAUCCAAGGUGCAGUAACUGGUUCUUAAACUGGAAUUGUCUAUUGGAUGAGGUGGCCUGUGGAUGUUAGAAAAUUCUUACAGAAUCUAAAAAUUUAACUGCUCUGUAUCUACGAGCCUGUAAGUGGAUCUGUAUGAGUCUACUCGCUGUGUACAUACGUGCUACUCUCUGCCGAAGAGCAGAGGAAAGGAAAGGAAGUACCGAAAUAGACCAAAUAUUCUUCAUAAUUCCGAUCAAAAAACUGGUUGGCCGCCCGAAAUAUAUCGCAGCCCACAGGACGGAAGCUGCUACAGCCAAUAAAAACAGGAAAAGCUACACGCCCUUUUUUCCAAAGAUAUCCUCCAUUGAAUAUUGUUCCAAAGAACGUUAUUAGAACAUUGCCAAUAUUUUAAAGAAGUCACCAUUCAGAUGCUGUGAAAUAAGAAGAAAAGUAACGUCCCAUUUGGAGUCAUUAUAAUCAUUAUAACUUGUUGUAGAGACAGAGUAGCUGCUCCGCGUUAAUGAGAACAAGUGCUGCUUUAAUUGACGCUCAUAAAAAUGACGCCAACAAAAAGUCUAAUGCCUUGUGAAAAAGAAGUGUAAAUUUAGGAAUCUUUACAAGAUUUUAUCAUAUUUUUUGUGAGGAAUAUACCGUUUUUAACUAUAUGUAUUUGGACAAUAAUUAUUCUUGUUCGAGUGGAAAUAGUCAAAUCGUCGCUAUGGAUGAGAAUUAUUAUAAGAUGCUCUCUUACUAAUAACAAAAGAAAACUUUUCUAUAGUCUGGUGUCCUCACUAAUUGGGAUUAAUUCAAACAAUUAGCAGCAAUUGGUCUUUAACGAUAACUCCCUCGGUUCUGGCGUUCGCUUAAGCGCGUCUAACACAAUUUUAAUUCAUCGAAACGACCAA